ACGGGUGAGUAAUAUAUCGGAACGUGCCCAGUCGUGGGGGAUAACGUAGCGAAAGCUACGCUAAUACCGCAUACGAUCUAUGGAUGAAAGCGGGGGAUCGCAAGACCUCGCGCGAUUGGAGCGGCCGAUAUCAGAUUAGGUAGUUGGUGAGGUAAAGGCUCACCAAGCCGACGAUCUGUAGCUGGUCUGAGAGGACGACCAGCCACACUGGGACUGAGACACGGCCCAGACUCCUACGGGAGGCAGCAGUGGGGAAUUUUGGACAAUGGGGGCAACCCUGAUCCAGCCAUUCCGCGUGAGUGAAGAAGGCCUUCGGGUUGUAAAGCUCUUUCGGCAGGAACGAAACGGCGAGCUCUAACAUAGCUCGCUAAUGACGGUACCUGAAGAAGAAGCACCGGCUA
rnacentral:rRNA from 1 species